AUUGAACGCUGGCGGCAGGCCUAACACAUGCAAGUCGAACGAGCGGCGGACGGGUGAGUAAUGUCUGGGAAACUGCCCGAUGGAGGGGGAUAACUACUGGAAACGGUAGCUAAUACCGCAUACCAUCGGAUGUGCCCAUAUGGGAUUAGCUAGUAGGUUGGGUAACGGCUCACCUAGGCGACGAUCCCUAGCUGGUCGGAGAGGAUGACCAGCCACACUGGACCGUAGACACGGUCCAGACUCCUACGGGAGGAAGCAGUGGGGAAUAUUGCACAAUGGGCGCAAGCCUGAUGCAGCCAUGCCGCGUGUAUGAAGAAGGCCUUCGGGUUGUAAAGUACUUUCAGCGAGGAGGCGUUACUCGCAGAAGAAGCACCGGCUAACUCCGUGCCAGCAGCCGCGGUAAUAC
rnacentral:rRNA from 1 species